CGUUAACGAUAUUUGUUUAGCACGUGCAAUAGGAGUGACUCACACAAGCCAGGUGCGCCGGCCGUGUCGUUCGACUCGUAAACAACAGCUGCAACAGAAGUGACUCAUAAGCCAGCUGCGCCGGCUAGUAUAAAAAGGCGGAACGUGCCUUGCAAUGAACAUUCGUUGGACUGCGUUUGCCUGGUGCACUUACUAUAUCCUUGUUACGUUGUGUGAUUCAGUGACUGUUGUACGUACUGGUUAAAGUUGGACAAGUGUUAAAGUGAAUUGUUAAGAUAACAUAUUGUUGAUUAAAUCAGAAAUCAAAGGUGACUUCGUUUAACUUGGUGUUCAACAAAAUAAUGUCUACCCUCAAGCUUACAUCAGAAGUGAGAUCAGGACUCUACUCUCACUGGCGUGACGUGUUUGAACAUGUUCGAAGUACAGCAAAAAAAACAUGAUGCAGAUCAGAAUACUAGUAGUGGUACGCCACAAGAGCGUGAAUGCAGCAUACGUAAGUCGUGUAAUAACGUCUCUGUUACCUCGAUGGAAGAUCUGAGCCACGAAGAAAUCGUCACAUCUUACGUUCUGGCUCAUGUUGCCCAGUUUGACUGUCGACUUCAUCACAUGGCAUUUACUAACGGAAAUAAAACACGUAACAAGCUAUUGCAAGAAAUUAAGGCAAGUGCAAAUCUCAAGUGAAACUUCGAUCGCAAUAAUGGAUCUGUCAUGACGAGUGGGUAGUUCCGACACGAAUCGUUUUUAAGCCAAUGACUACUGCUAGAGUUACAUGGCACUAGUACAGUAAACCAGGACAUGAGACUGUGAAUUGUCGCUGAAAUUUUAGAAUCUACUCGAUUCAACACCAAUAACACUACACGUUCGAUGACUUCGGGCUCCAGCAAGCAAGAAAACAAGAAAGCAAGCAAGUUUCCGUGGGGAAGAAAAAUUGACACAUCUGAAGUCGUCGUGACCUGUAAGAUAAGACGUCCGGUGCGUUCGUGUCUGGCGAUGCGGCGGUGUUCGGGUUCCGCUGGCGGAUGCAGGUUUUUCCGGUGAAGUGCGUGCUUGUGCCUGCUUGACAAGUGUUCGCGGUUGGCUUCCUCAGUGUGGGAGUAACAUCGUGUAGCCGGAGGUGAGACUUCCGCGGUCGCGGCCUACCCAGUCCGCGAGAACCGGGCAGAUCGCCUCGACGGUACGGAGGCCGGCCGACGGGUCCGCCAAACGACGAGACCACGCCUCCAGCACGGACUGCCGAUAUUGGAGCCCCCGCGCUCCGGCUGCACUUGCGCUAGGGCGCGCCGCCUCGUAGGAGACUGUGAGGUGCUGUGGCAGGUCCAACCAGAGACGUCAACGUGUGUUCCAGAGCUUCAGUGUGUUACAGAUAAGUGGUUUUGGCUCCCCCUUUAUGUUCCAUUCAGGGUCAGAAUGUAGUCUUAUAAAACAAAGCCAUAGUAAUUUAUUCAAUGGUAAGCGGUUUCAUGAACAAGUCACCGUAGUCACCCUAGACACGUCCUUACGGAUCCAUCAGAUCCAAUAACUCUUGCAUUAGAUACCUUCAGCUCUAACACUAGGAGCAGGCUGAGGAACCCCAGUAAUCGUACUCGUCGAACUCAACAAAGAGGUCGACGUGCAACCUAACCCAUGCAUCAGCCCACUGAGUUUCUCGCCGGAUCUUCUCAGUGGGUCGCGAUUCCGAUCCGGUAGUAGAUUCAUUCGCGAAGCGAUUGCUCUUGAGUUGUUAGGUCUCCUGCGGAGGCGCUCGGGCAGUUGUUAGCAAAUCCCACCCCUCUUGGCUGAGCCUUUGCUCGCCCACCCGUCCUGGUGAAGCGGGAAAGGCCUCCGGGCCACCAGUAAUCUUUCAAUCAUCUGCAGUUUUGGAAAACGAUAGGUAUAAGUUGAGACGUGUAAAUGGUUCUAGUGUACAAAGUUCUAAAUGAAAACUUACGCGAAGUACCUCGAGGCCCGUCAGGCCUAGUAGAAAUUUCUGAAAAUUAUAGUGACGAUGACGUGACGGCGUACACAGAUGGGUUAAGUAAUCUUGUUCAUGAAACUGAUCUUAAUGAUGACGACUCUAUCACUGACAAUAGAAGCUACAUUUUUGUCCGCAAAUAGCGAUACAGCAAACAUAGUCUGCGGGUAGUGAUACAAUGUCUGUAAGCUCAGGCACCUUAGGUGCAGGUGUUGGAAAUGUAAAAACGAUGGUCGGUCUCGCACUAUUUCUGAAGAAAUUCCGUAUAAAUGUUCUGGUUUAAGAAAUGUUUUAACAAACGCUACCGUACACGCAGAUUAAAAAAAAAAAGAGGAGAAUUGUAUGUGGCUAGAGAGAUGUUAAUCCGGACUAGCAAAAAAAAAAAAAGAGAAAAAAAAAAAAAAAGAAAGUGAGAAGUCAUUGAAGGGUCUGUCCGGUCCAAUGGCUUGGCUAUAGGGAUUUUCAUCCAGAUUAGCCACAACAAUUAGCUACAGGGAUUGCGAUUCGGUCUAGCAUUAUCCGGUCCAGUUCGAAAAACUGAAGGGAUAACAAUUCCGGUCUAAGUUAAAAGGGACAUACUUACAUACCUGAAGAGUUUUAAAUGAACUGGCCCAGGUAUGUAAGCAGUCUGAAGGUUAUUUAUAGCCAGUAUAGGAUUUUCUGAAGAAUUAUGCGAACCGAACUGUACUAGAUUGUUAAUAUCAUAGACCACGUUUUAAGUUGCAUCCGUUAAUGUCAGGAUGAACGAACACGUUUGUUGUUCACAGACAUACCAUAAGAAUGCGCGCACGAGGACGAGCGCACGUCAGUAUGGCCGUGACGGCGUUAACGAUAUUUGUUUAGCACGUGCAAUAGGAGUGACUCACACAAGCCAGGUGCGCCGGCCGUGUCGUUCGACUCGUAAACAACAGCUGCAACAGAAGUGACUCAUAAGCCAGCUGCGCCGGCUAGUAUAAAAAGGCGGAACGUGCCUUGCAAUGAACAUUCGUUGGACUGCGUUUGCCUGGUGCACUUACUAUAUCCUUGUUACGUUGUGUGAUUCAGUGACUGUUGUACGUACUGGUUAAAGUUGGACAAGUGUUAAAGUGAAUUGUUAAGAUAACAUAUUGUUGAUUAAAUCAGAAAUCAAA